AGCGUACACGGUGGAUGCCCUGGCAGUCAGAGGCGAUGAAGGACGUGCUAAUCUGCGAUAAGCGUCGGUAAGGUGAUAUGAACCGUUAUAACCGGCGAUUUCCGAAUGGGGAAACCCAGUGUGUUUCGACACACUAUCAUUAACUGAAUCCAUAGGUUAAUGAGGCGAACCGGGGGAACUGAAACAUCUAAGUACCCCGAGGAAAAGAAAUCAACCGAGAUUCCCCCAGUAGCGGCGAGCGAACGGGGAGCAGCCCAGAGCCUGAAUCAGUGUGUGUGUUAGUGGAAGCGUCUGGAAAGGCGCGCGAUACAGGGUGACAGCCCCGUACACAAAAAUGCACAUGCUGUGAGCUCGAUGAGUAGGGCGGGACACGUGGUAUCCUGUCUGAAUAUGGGGGGACCAUCCUCCAAGGCUAAAUACUCCUGACUGACCGAUAGUGAACCAGUACCGUGAGGGAAAGGCGAAAAGAACCCCGGCGAGGGGAGUGAAAAAGAACCUGAAACCGUGUACGUACAAGCAGUGGGAGCCUCUUUUAUGGGGUGACUGCGUACCUUUUGUAUAAUGGGUCAGCGACUUAUAUUCUGUAGCAAGGUUAACCGAAUAGGGGAGCCGAAGGGAAACCGAGUCUUAACUGGGCGUUAAGUUGCAGGGUAUAGACCCGAAACCCGGUGAUCUAGCCAUGGGCAGGUUGAAGGUUGGGUAACACUAACUGGAGGACCGAACCGACUAAUGUUGAAAAAUUAGCGGAUGACUUGUGGCUGGGGGUGAAAGGCCAAUCAAACCGGGAGAUAGCUGGUUCUCCCCGAAAGCUAUUUAGGUAGCGCCUCGUGAAUUCAUCUCCGGGGGUAGAGCACUGUUUCGGCAAGGGGGUCAUCCCGACUUACCAACCCGAUGCAAACUGCGAAUACCGGAGAAUGUUAUCACGGGAGACACACGGCGGGUGCUAACGUCCGUCGUGAAGAGGGAAACAACCCAGACCGCCAGCUAAGGUCCCAAAGUCAUGGUUAAGUGGGAAACGAUGUGGGAAGGCCCAGACAGCCAGGAUGUUGGCUUAGAAGCAGCCAUCAUUUAAAGAAAGCGUAAUAGCUCACUGGUCGAGUCGGCCUGCGCGGAAGAUGUAACGGGGCUAAACCAUGCACCGAAGCUGCGGCAGCGACACUAUGUGUUGUUGGGUAGGGGAGCGUUCUGUAAGCCUGUGAAGGUGUGCUGUGAGGCAUGCUGGAGGUAUCAGAAGUGCGAAUGCUGACAUAAGUAACGAUAAAGCGGGUGAAAAGCCCGCUCGCCGGAAGACCAAGGGUUCCUGUCCAACGUUAAUCGGGGCAGGGUGAGUCGACCCCUAAGGCGAGGCCGAAAGGCGUAGUCGAUGGGAAACAGGUUAAUAUUCCUGUACUUGGUGUUACUGCGAAGGGGGGACGGAGAAGGCUAUGUUGGCCGGGCGACGGUUGUCCCGGUUUAAGCGUGUAGGCUGGUUUUCCAGGCAAAUCCGGAAAAUCAAGGCUGAGGCGUGAUGACGAGGCACUACGGUGCUGAAGCAACAAAUGCCCUGCUUCCAGGAAAAGCCUCUAAGCAUCAGGUAACAUCAAAUCGUACCCCAAACCGACACAGGUGGUCAGGUAGAGAAUACCAAGGCGCUUGAGAGAACUCGGGUGAAGGAACUAGGCAAAAUGGUGCCGUAACUUCGGGAGAAGGCACGCUGAUAUGUAGGUGAAGUCCCUUGCGGAUGGAGCUGAAAUCAGUCGAAGAUACCAGCUGGCUGCAACUGUUUAUUAAAAACACAGCACUGUGCAAACACGAAAGUGGACGUAUACGGUGUGACGCCUGCCCGGUGCCGGAAGGUUAAUUGAUGGGGUCAGCGCAAGCGAAGCUCUUGAUCGAAGCCCCGGUAAACGGCGGCCGUAACUAUAACGGUCCUAAGGUAGCGAAAUUCCUUGUCGGGUAAGUUCCGACCUGCACGAAUGGCGUAAUGAUGGCCAGGCUGUCUCCACCCGAGACUCAGUGAAAUUGAACUCGCUGUGAAGAUGCAGUGUACCCGCGGCAAGACGGAAAGACCCCGUGAACCUUUACUAUAGCUUGACACUGAACAUUGAGCCUUGAUGUGUAGGAUAGGUGGGAGGCUUAGAAGUGUGGACGCCAGUCUGCAUGGAGCCGACCUUGAAAUACCACCCUUUAAUGUUUGAUGUUCUAACGUUGACCCGUGAUCCGGGUUGCGGACAGUGUCUGGUGGGUAGUUUGACUGGGGCGGUCUCCUCCUAAAGAGUAACGGAGGAGCACGAAGGUUGGCUAAUCCUGGUCGGACAUCAGGAGGUUAGUGCAAUGGCAUAAGCCAGCUUGACUGCGAGCGUGACGGCGCGAGCAGGUGCGAAAGCAGGUCAUAGUGAUCCGGUGGUUCUGAAUGGAAGGGCCAUCGCUCAACGGAUAAAAGGUACUCCGGGGAUAACAGGCUGAUACCGCCCAAGAGUUCAUAUCGACGGCGGUGUUUGGCACCUCGAUGUCGGCUCAUCACAUCCUGGGGCUGAAGUAGGUCCCAAGGGUAUGGCUGUUCGCCAUUUAAAGUGGUACGCGAGCUGGGUUUAGAACGUCGUGAGACAGUUCGGUCCCUAUCUGCCGUGGGCGCUGGAGAACUGAGGGGGGCUGCUCCUAGUACGAGAGGACCGGAGUGGACGCAUCACUGGUGUUCGGGUUGUCAUGCCAAUGGCACUGCCCGGUAGCUAAAUGCGGAAGAGAUAAGUGCUGAAAGCAUCUAAGCACGAAACUUGCCCCGAGAUGAGUUCU
rnacentral:rRNA from 1 species